GACGAACGCUGGCGGCGUGCUUAACACAUGCAAGUCACGGGGGCCCGCAAGGGCAACCGGCGAACGGGUGCGUAACACGUGAGCAAGUUUCCGAUUAGAGGGGGAUAGCCUGCCUAACGGCAGGGUAAUACCGCAUACGAUCACUGGGCGGCAUCGCUUGGUGAUGAAACCUCCGGGGCUAAUCGAGGCGCUCGCGGCCUAUUAGCUAGUUGGCGGGGUAACGGCCCACCAAGGCGACGACGGGUAGCUGGUCUGAGAGGAUGGCCAGCCACAUUGGGACUGCGACACGGCCCAGACUCUUACGGGAGGCAGCAGUGGAGAAUAUUGCGCAAUGGACGAAAGUCUGACGCAGCGACGCCGCGUGUGGGAUGAAGCCCUUCGGGGUGUAAACCACUGUUGCCCGGGACGAAAUGCCCUUUCGAGGGAAUUGACGGUACCGGGUGAGGAAGCACCGGCUAACUCUGUGCCAGCAGCCGCGGUAA
rnacentral:rRNA from 1 species